rnacentral:rRNA from 1 species
GACGAACGCUGGCGGCGUGCUUAACACAUGCAAGUCGAACGAAAAGACCCGCUUCUUGGGUCCCCGAGUGGAGAACGGGUGGGUAACACGUCAGUAACCUACCCUUCACUUUGGGAUAACUUCAGUAAACUGAGGCCAAUACCGGACCGGAGAUCAUGCUGAAUGGUGUGGUUUGGAAAGUUUCGGCGGUUUGGGAUGGACUCGCGGCUGAUUAGCUUGUUGGUGGGGUAGUGGCUAACCAAGGCUUUGACGGGUAGCCGGCCUGAGAGGGUGACCGGCCGCAUUGGGACUGAGAUACGGCCCAGUAGCCUAUGGGAGGCAGCAGUGGAGAAUAUUGCACAGUGGGGGGAAGCCUGAUGCAGCGACGCCGCGAGCGGGAUGACGUCCUUCGGGUUGUAAACCGCUUUCUCCGGUGACGAAGCGUGAUUGACGGUAAUGGGUAAGGAAGCACCGGCUAACUACGUG